rnacentral:tRNA from 1 species
GGGCGGGUGGCGGAACAGGCAGACGCCUUGGACUUAAAAUCCAAUGUCCCGAGAGGGACGUGAGGGUUCGAUUCCCUCCCCGCCCA